UUAUCGAAUUAUAAGCGAGGGUUGUUGCUGGCCUCGAAAGAGGCAUGUGCACACCCGAGCUCUUAAAUCCACAACACACCUGUGAACCCACCGUAGGCCUUCGGGCUUAUGUAUCAUAUACUCUGAAUGUGUCAUAGAAUGUUCAUGUUGCCUUAAAACGCAAUCAAAUACAACUUUCAACAACGGAUCUCUUGGCUCUCGCAUCGAUGAAGAACGCAGCGAAAUGCGAUAAGUAAUGUGAAUUGCAGAUUUUCAGUGAAUCAUCGAAUCUUUGAACGCACCUUGCGCUCCUUGGUAUUCCGAGGAGCAUGCCUGUUUGAGUGUCAUUAAAUUCUCAACCCCACCGAUUUGCUUCGGGGGGAUUGGACUUGGAGCGUGCUGGCGAAGGUCGGCUCCUCUUUAAAUGCAUCAGUGGAGAGAAACUUGCCCCAGUGUGAUAAUCCUGUUGCGCUGUGGUGGGUGAAAGUCUGCUUCCAACCGUCCCUCCGGGGACAUAUGUCAUCUUAUUUUGACCUCAAAUCAGGUAGGACUACCCGCUGAACUUAAGCAUAUCA
rnacentral:rRNA from 1 species